GAAUAAAUAGAAGGUCAUAUUGACUUGACGAGACAGGCAUUGUGGGCAUAGAAGCUUCAAGAUGACACCACUGUACUCAACAAUAUGCUGAGAGAAUAGUUUUCCAUAGAUACUGCAUGAAUAAGAAAUACCUUCUUGAUGAAAUGCUUACUUUUCAGCAUGCCAGAUUCUGUUUCAACAGAUGAAAAGCCAAAAGAUACUCGAUGUCAUGCAUUCAUUGCAUAGAUGACAAGAGAUUUCAAUACCUGGGAUGGGACGGGG
rnacentral:lncRNA from 1 species